GCUGGCGUAGCUCAGCAGGCAGAGCACCGGCAUCGUAAGCCGAUUGUCGCGGGUUCAAUUCCUGCCGCCAGCUCCA
rnacentral:tRNA from 1 species